CUUACUCCUUCUGAGAAGAGUGAGGAGCAACUUUGAUAUUUCAGCCUGCAAGAGGCAUGUGUGUUAGUCUGCUCUCAGCGAGGCCAGCGGCUAAGUGGCAAAGGUCCUGCCCCUGCAAGACUGGGAAAAGGCAGUAAGUCAAGUACAGGACCUGACUGGAUGUUGAUCUACUAGGAGACUAUCUCCUGGGAAUAUUAUGCAGCUCAAAAAAAUGGAGAUGGCAGAUUCAGAGGCUCCAAGAAGUCCUGCAAUCAAAUAAACUAACUCAGAACAAGUUUUGGGAUCAAAUUGCCUGUGUUAAAAUCUGGGUUCUACCACAUUCUAGCUGUCCUGGAGUCCGCUUGGAUGGAAAUGCAUCAUAUAAUGGGCUCAGAGUUAAUCAUCUGCAGGUUUUCCCUGAUAAGUCACAGUAUGUUUGCUGCGCUCCUUCCAAGAGUCAACAGCAGCUAUGGGGAUGUACCGAGAGUGGCCUAUGGCAUUCAGAGUGGUGGCCCAGAUGGGAGGCAGCGUGCUAGGGAGCCUAUCUGAACACCACCAUCUGGAAUGCCUCUGUUGCCCUGAAGGCACUUGUCUCCACUGGACACAGCUUAAAUGCCAAAAACUGAGCCAAGUUCACUGGAUGUACAAAUGGCCUGACGUCAGUGGAAUUUGCUCAUAAUUUAGGCCUCAUGUGUGAUGUACUGUCUGAACUGAAUGAUCCGUCAAAACAAUCAGGGAAGAAGAGGAGAAGGAAGAAGAAAAGUGGAGGAAGAGAAGAAGGAAGAAGAGAAGUAAGAGGCAAAAGAAGAAGUAGAUGAGAAGAAAAAGAAAGAGGAAAUUAGGACAUGGCCAGGAGCUGUGGCAGAACAGGUUCAGCUUUUGACUCCUCGGGCCAACGGCCCCUGUAAAUUUGUUGAAAGCAUCAGUGCCAAAUAAAACAUGGCCUUUUAAAGCACUGAAUUACGUGAGUGCAGAGCUGUUAAAAUCAGUGUAGCAAAAAUCCAGCUGGGUUUGGCCAGUGCCACAAAGUACAAAAUGAUGAUCACUUGUUCUGCCAAGACUCAAGGUUCCCCAGACGCGGUGGCCUGAGCAGAGUUAUUUGGAUGGUAGUCCAGAUCACCAUUCUUUAAAAAAAAAUUGCUAUUAAGAAAUAGACAUCUGUUGUUUUUGCUGCCCUGUGUCUAAAGAUGGAUUUAUUACGAAGCUAACAAAGUUCUAAGCUUCAGAGCCCUUCACUUGCAUGGGUCUCUGUAAGUGCUGGGAGAUUCUGGGAGUUGUGGACUGUUCUAGAUGGGAAGAAGAAGCCACAUUACAAUCAAGAAGCACUCAAGCAUUUCUGGUAGAUUGCCUAAACAGACUUUGGACAAAAAGAACAGAAUUGCCAAGAUACCAAUAAUUUGUUGCGAUUUAUUUUUUCAUUCUUUUUUUUAACUUUA